GACGAACGCUGGCGGCGCGCCUAACACACGCAAGUCGAACGAGAGAGAGGGAGCUUGCUUCCUCAAUCGAGUGGCAAACGGGUGAGUAACGCGUGAGGAACCUGCCUCGAGGAGGGGGACAACAGUUGGAAACGACUGCUAAUACCGCAUAAGCCCACGACCCGGCAUCGGGAAGAGGGAAAAGGAGCAAUCCGCUUUGAGAUGGCCUCGCGUCCGAUUAGCUAGUUGGUGAGGUAACGGCCCACCAAGGCGACGAUCGGUAGCCGGACUGAGAGGUUGAACGGCCACAUUGGGACCGAGACACGGCCCAGACUCCUACGGGAGGCAGCAGUGGGGAAUAUUGCACAAUGGGGGAAACCCUGAUGCAGCGACGCCGCGUGGAGGAAGAAGGUCUUCGGAUUGUAAACUCCUGUUGUUGAGGAAGAUAAUGACGGUACUCAACAAGGAAGUGACGGCUAACUACGUGCCAGCAGCCGCGGUAAAACGUAGGUCACAAGCGUUGUCCGGAAUUACUGGGUGUAAAGGGAGCGCAGCGGGCGAUCAAGUUGGAAGUGAAAUCCAUGGGCUCACCCCAUGAACUGCUUUCAAAACUGGUCGUCUUGAGUAGUGCAGAGGUAGGCGGAAUUCCCGGUGUAGCGGUGGAAUGCGUAGAUAUCGGGAGGAACACCAGUGGCGAAGGCGGCCUACUGGGCACCAACUGACGCUGAGGCUCGAAAGUGUGGGUAGCAAACAGGAUUAGAUACCCUGGUAGCCCACACCGUAAACGAUGAUUACUAGGUGUUGGGAGAUUGACCCUCUCAGUGCCGCAGUUAACACAAUAAGUAAUCCACCUGGGGAGUACGACCGCAAGGUUGAAACUCAAGGGAAUUGACGGGGGCCCGCACAAGCAGUGGAGUAUGUGGUUUAAUUCGACGCAACGCGAAGAACCUUACCAAGUCUUGACAUCCUCUGACGAACGUAGAAAUACGUUUUCUCUUCGGAGCAGAGAGACAGGUGGUGCAUGGUUGUCGUCAGCUCGUGUCGUGAGAUGUUGGGUUAAGUCCCGCAACGAGCGCAGCCCUUAUGGUCAGUUACUACGCAAGAGGACUCUGGCCAGACUGCCGUUGACAAAACGGAGGAAGGUGGGGAUGACGUCAAAUCAUCAUGCCCUUUAUGACUUGGGCUACACACGUACUACAAUGGCGUUAAACAAAGAGAAGCAAGACCGCGAGGUGGAGCAAAACUCAGAAACAACGUCCCAGUUCGGACUGCAGGCUGCAACUCGCCUGCACGAAGUCGGAAUUGCUAGUAAUCGUGGAUCAGCAUGCCACGGUGAAUACGUUCCCGGGCCUU
rnacentral:rRNA from 1 species